GGAGUUUGGUCCGUGUCUCAGUACCAAUGUGGGGGACCUUCCUCUCAGGUCGGCUACCGAUCGUCGACUUGGUGGGCCGUUACCUCACCAACUAUCUAAUCGGACGCGAGCCCACCCUUCACCGGAUUGCUCCUUUGACCCCUUCGCCAUGUGACGUUGUGGUCUUAUGCGGUAUUAGAACACCUUUCGGUAUCUUAUCCCCCUGUGAAGGACAGGUUGCUCACGCGUUACUCACCCGUCCGCCGCUAAAACAUAUAUCUUCCGGCCGAAGCCUUCCGUUACAUGUCUCCGCUCGACUUGCAUGUGUUAAGCCUGCCGCUAGCGUUCAUC
rnacentral:rRNA from 1 species